UGGCUCAGUGGUAGAGCGCUUGCCUUUCACGCAUGAGGCCCUGGGUUCGAUUCCUCAG
rnacentral:tRNA from 1 species